rnacentral:rRNA from 1 species
UGACGCUAGCGGCAGGCCUAACACAUGCAAGUCGAGGGGCAGCACAGAAAUAGCUUGCUAUUUGGGUGGCGACCGGCGCACGGGUGCGUAACGCGUAUGCAACCUACCUUAUACUGGGGUAUAGCCCGGAGAAAUUCGGAUUAAUCCCCCAUAGUAUUAUAGAUUGGCAUCGAUUUAUAAUUAAAGUAACAACGGUAUAAGAUGGGCAUGCGUCCUAUUAGCUAGAUGGUGUGGUAACGGCUCACCAUGGCGACGAUAGGUAGGGGGCCUGAGAGGGUAGUCCCCCACACUGGUACUGAGACACGGACCAGACUCCUACGGGAGGCGGCAGUGAGGAAUAUUGGUCAAUGGGCGCAAGCCUGAACCAGCCAUGCCGCGUGAAGGAAGAAGGUUCUAUGGAUUGUA